AGAGAGUUAGUCUAACCAAGACAGUUGAUUUCGGCUCAACGGAUCAUAGACCUACCCUAUGACUCUCUA
rnacentral:tRNA from 1 species